rnacentral:tRNA from 1 species
AACGAUAUAGUUUAAAAAAAAUAUUUGCUUUGCAUGCAAAAAAUAGCUUUGGCUUAUUGUUA